rnacentral:misc_RNA from 1 species
AAGUCGUAACAAGGUUUCCGUAGGUGAACCUGCGGAAGGAUCAUUAUUGAAUUGAACUCGGUAUGGGUUGUUGCUAGCCUCCUAGAGGCAUCGUGCACGCCUUUCCGUUUCUCUCUUUACCCCCCUGUGCACCCUUUGUAGGCUUGGAUAACUUUCGAGGAAACUCGGUUUGGGGGUUGUAGUGCAUUAUUCCUACUUCCCCUACAUUUCCCGGCCUAUGUCCUUUCAUAUACCCCAUUGUAUGUCAUUAGAAUGAAACGAAUUGGGCCUUUACAAGCUCGAUAUAAUCUAUUACAACUUUCAACAACGGAUCUCUUGGCUCUC